rnacentral:rRNA from 1 species
AGCUCCAAUAGCGUAUAUUAAAGUUGUUGCAGUUAAAAAGCUCGUAGUUGAAUUUCUAGGCAAGUAUAACUUGGACUUUGUUCGGUUAUAUUUGUCUAUCCGACAUUGAACUAUAUUGGAUAUUAAGUUAUCCGUAUAGCGAACUGUCAUUUUACUUUGAAAAAAUUAGAGUGUUUCAGGCAGGCAAUUGCCCGAAUAUCUUAGCAUGGAAUAAUGGAAUAGGACUUUGGUUCAUUUGAUUGGUUAUUGAAUCAGAGUAAUGAUUAAUAGGGACAGUUGGGGGCAUUAGUAUUUAAUUGUCAGAGGUGAAAUUCUUGGAUUUAUUAAAGACUAACUUAUGCGAAAGCAUUUGCCAAGGAUGUUUUCA